GUCUCAUUGGCUCAGCUGGUUAGAGCACAGGUCUCAUAUCUUCGAUGUGGGUGGUCUAGGACCACGUAAACCUGGGAUCGCAAGUUCGAGCCUUGCAUGGGACA
rfam:Hypholoma sublateritium FD-334 SS-4 unplaced genomic scaffold scaffold_97, whole genome shotgun sequence.